CGAAGGGGGCUAGCAUUGUUCGGAAUUACUGGGCGUAAAGCGCGCGCAGGCGGUUCUUCAAGUCAGAGGUGAAAGCCCAGGGCUCAACCCUGGAAUGGCCUUUGAGACUAGAGAACUAGGGUACGGGAGAGGUGAGUGGAAUUCCGAGUGUAGAGGUGAAAUUCGUAGAUAUUCGGAAGAACACCAGUGGCGAAGGCGGCUCACUGGCCCGUUACCGACGCUCAGGCGCGACAGCGUGGGGAGCAAACAGGAUUAGAUACCCUGGUAGUCCACGCCGUAAACGAUGGAUGCUAGCCGUUGGUAAGCAUGCUUAUCAGUGGCGCAGCUAACGCAUUAAGCGUCCCGCCUGGGGAGUACGGCCGCAAGGUUG
rnacentral:rRNA from 1 species